rnacentral:rRNA from 1 species
AAGUCAGAGGUGAAAUCCUGCAGCUCAACUGUGGAACUGCCUUUGAUACUGGUUGACUUGAGUUAUUGUGAAGUAGUUAGAAUGUGUAGUGUAGCGGUGAAAUGCAUAGAUAUUACACAGAAUACCGAUUGCGAAGGCAGAUUACUAACAAUAUACUGACGCUCAUGGACGAAAGCGUGGGGAGCGAACAGGAUUAGAUACCCUGGUAGUCCACGCCGUAAACGAUGGAUACUAGCUGUUGGGCCUUCGCUGGUUGGGUGAGCGAAAAAGAGAAAAGGAUCACUUGGGGAGUACGGGAGCAAGAAUAGAA